UUAAGCGACUAAGCGUACACGGUGGAUGCCCUGGCAGUCAGAGGCGAUGAAGGACGUGCUAAUCUGCGAUAAGCGUCGGUGAGGUGAUAUGAACCGUUAUAACCGGCGAUUUCCGAAUGGGGAAACCCAGUGUGUUUCGACACACUAUCAUUAACUGAAUCCAUAGGUUAAUGAGGCGAACCGGGGGAACUGAAACAUCUAAGUACCCCGAGGAAAAGAAAUCAACCGAGAUUCCCCCAGUAGCGGCGAGCGAACGGGGAGGAGCCCAGAGCCUGAAUCAGUGUGUGUGUUAGUGGAAGCGUCUGGAAAGGCGUGCGAUACAGGGUGACAGCCCCGUACACAAAAAUGCACAUAUUGUGAGCUCGAUGAGUAGGGCGGGACACGUGGUAUCCUGUCUGAAUAUGGGGGGACCAUCCUCCAAGGCUAAAUACUCCUGACUGACCGAUAGUGAACCAGUACCGUGAGGGAAAGGCGAAAAGAACCCCGGCGAGGGGAGUGAAAAAGAACCUGAAACCGUGUACGUACAAGCAGUGGGAGCCUCUUAAUGGGGUGACUGCGUACCUUUUGUAUAAUGGGUCAGCGACUUAUAUUCUGUAGCAAGGUUAACCGAAUAGGGGAGCCGAAGGGAAACCGAGUCUUAACUGGGCGUUAAGUUGCAGGGUAUAGACCCGAAACCCGGUGAUCUAGCCAUGGGCAGGUUGAAGGUUGGGUAACACUAACUGGAGGACCGAACCGACUAAUGUUGAAAAAUUAGCGGAUGACUUGUGGCUGGGGGUGAAAGGCCAAUCAAACCGGGAGAUAGCUGGUUCUCCCCGAAAGCUAUUUAGGUAGCGCCUCGUGAAUUCAUCUCCGGGGGUAGAGCACUGUUUCGGCAAGGGGGUCAUCCCGACUUACCAACCCGAUGCAAACUGCGAAUACCGGAGAAUGUUAUCACGGGAGACACACGGCGGGUGCUAACGUCCGUCGUGAAGAGGGAAACAACCCAGACCGCCAGCUAAGGUCCCAAAGUCAUGGUUAAGUGGGAAACGAUGUGGGAAGGCCCAGACAGCCAGGAUGUUGGCUUAGAAGCAGCCAUCAUUUAAAGAAAGCGUAAUAGCUCACUGGUCGAGUCGGCCUGCGCGGAAGAUGUAACGGGGCUAAACCAUGCACCGAAGCUGCGGCAGCGACACUAUGUGUUGUUGGGUAGGGGAGCGUUCUGUAAGCCUGUGAAGGUGGCCUGUGAGGGUUGCUGGAGGUAUCAGAAGUGCGAAUGCUGACAUAAGUAACGAUAAAGCGGGUGAAAAGCCCGCUCGCCGGAAGACCAAGGGUUCCUGUCCAACGUUAAUCGGGGCAGGGUGAGUCGACCCCUAAGGCGAGGCCGAAAGGCGUAGUCGAUGGGAAACAGGUUAAUAUUCCUGUACUUGGUGUUACUGCGAAGGGGGGACGGAGAAGGCUAUGUUGGCCGGGCGACGGUUGUCCCGGUUUAAGCGUGUAGGCUGGUUUUCCAGGCAAAUCCGGAAAACCAAGGCUGAGGCGUGAUGACGAGGCACUACGGUGCUGAAGCGACAAAUGCCCUGCUUCCAGGAAAAGCCUCUAAGCAUCAGGUAACAUCAAAUCGUACCCCAAACCGACACAGGUGGUCAGGUAGAGAAUACCAAGGCGCUUGAGAGAACUCGGGUGAAGGAACUAGGCAAAAUGGUGCCGUAACUUCGGGAGAAGGCACGCUGAUAUGUAGGUGAAGCGACUUGCUCGUGGAGCUGAAAUCAGUCGAAGAUACCAGCUGGCUGCAACUGUUUAUUAAAAACACAGCACUGUGCAAACACGAAAGUGGACGUAUACGGUGUGACGCCUGCCCGGUGCCGGAAGGUUAAUUGAUGGGGUUAGCGGCAACGCGAAGCUCUUGAUCGAAGCCCCGGUAAACGGCGGCCGUAACUAUAACGGUCCUAAGGUAGCGAAAUUCCUUGUCGGGUAAGUUCCGACCUGCACGAAUGGCGUAAUGAUGGCCAGGCUGUCUCCACCCGAGACUCAGUGAAAUUGAACUCGCUGUGAAGAUGCAGUGUACCCGCGGCAAGACGGAAAGACCCCGUGAACCUUUACUAUAGCUUGACACUGAACAUUGAGCCUUGAUGUGUAGGAUAGGUGGGAGGCUUUGAAGUGUGGACGCCAGUCUGCAUGGAGCCGACCUUGAAAUACCACCCUUUAAUGUUUGAUGUUCUAACGUUGGCCCGUAAUCCGGGUUGCGGACAGUGUCUGGUGGGUAGUUUGACUGGGGCGGUCUCCUCCUAAAGAGUAACGGAGGAGCACGAAGGUUGGCUAAUCCUGGUCGGACAUCAGGAGGUUAGUGCAAUGGCAUAAGCCAGCUUGACUGCGAGCGUGACGGCGCGAGCAGGUGCGAAAGCAGGUCAUAGUGAUCCGGUGGUUCUGAAUGGAAGGGCCAUCGCUCAACGGAUAAAAGGUACUCCGGGGAUAACAGGCUGAUACCGCCCAAGAGUUCAUAUCGACGGCGGUGUUUGGCACCUCGAUGUCGGCUCAUCACAUCCUGGGGCUGAAGUAGGUCCCAAGGGUAUGGCUGUUCGCCAUUUAAAGUGGUACGCGAGCUGGGUUUAGAACGUCGUGAGACAGUUCGGUCCCUAUCUGCCGUGGGCGCUGGAGAACUGAGGGGGGCUGCUCCUAGUACGAGAGGACCGGAGUGGACGCAUCACUGGUGUUCGGGUUGUCAUGCCAAUGGCACUGCCCGGUAGCUAAAUGCGGAAGAGAUAAGUGCUGAAAGCAUCUAAGCACGAAACUUGCCCCGAGAUGAGUUCUCCCUGACUCCUUGAG
rnacentral:rRNA from 4 species